UACGAAGGGUGCUAGCGUUGUUCGGAAUUACUGGGCGUAAAGGGCGCGUAGGCGGUCUUGUAAGUCAGAUGUGAAAGCCCCGGGCUCAACCCGGGAAUAGCAUUUGAUACUGCGAGGCUUGAGUCCGGGAGAGGUUGGCGGAAUUCCCAGUGUAGAGGUGAAAUUCGUAGAUAUUGGGAAGAACACCGGUGGCGAAGGCGGCUAACUGGACCGGUACUGACGCUGAGGUGCGAAAGCGUGGGGAGCAAACAGG
rnacentral:rRNA from 1 species